CACGGGGGGAGCAAGCGUUGUUCGGAAUCACUGGGCGUAAAGGGCGUGUAGGCGGUCAGGUAAGUGGAAUGUGAAAGCCCUCGGCUCACCCGAGGAUCUGCAUUCCAAACUGCCUGGCUUGAGUAUGGGAGAGGAUGAGGGAAUUCCUGGUGUAGCGGUGAAAUGCGUAGAUAUCGAGAGGAACACCGGCGGCGAAGGCGGCACUCUGGGCCGGUACUGACGCUGAGACGCGAAAGCGUGGGGAGCAAACAGG
rnacentral:rRNA from 1 species